rfam:Triticum aestivum genome assembly, contig: Triticum_aestivum_CS42_TGACv1_scaffold_291658_4AL
AAUAUACUUCCUCCGUCCCAAAAUUCUUGUUUUAGAUUUAUCUAGAUACGGAUGUAUCUAACACUAAAAUGUGAAUAGAUACAUCCAUAUGUAGAGAAAUCUAAGACAAGAAUUUUGGGAUGAAGGGAGUAAUUU